CCGGCCCUCCGCGAGCACCCGCGGGGGUUCGGGUUCCGGACCCGGUCCGAUCCCGUUCCCACCGAGGGGCUGUCCGCGAUCAUGGAGGUGUCCUCGGACGGCGUCGAAUCUUUUUUUUCUCCGGUCCGCGACGCUACGGCUUGGAUGGUCCACCCGACCCGUCUUGAAACACGGACCAAGGAGUCUAACAUGCGCGCGAGUCGUUGGGUCGGACACGCUCCGCUAAACCCAUAGGCGCAAUGAAAGUGAAGGCCGCCGUCGGGCGGCCGAGGGAGGACGGGGCCGGUCGCGCGUUCCGGCGCGCGUCGGUCCCCGCACCCCCGGGGCGUCUGAUCCCUCAUCGCGAGGGGAGGCGCACCCAGAGCGCACACGUUGGGACCCGAAAGAUGGUGAACUAUGCCUGGCCAGGACGAAGUCAGGGGAAACCCUGAUGGAGGUCCGUAGCGAUUCUGACGUGCAAAUCGAUCGUCGGAGCUGGGUAUAGGGGCGAAAGACUAAUCGAACCAUCUAGUAGCUGGUUCCCUCCGAAGUUUCCCUCAGGAUAGCUUGCGCUCGGAGGAGAGUCUCAUCCGGUAAAGCGAAUGAUUAGAGGCCUUGGGGCCGAAACGGCUUCAACCUAUUCUCAAACUUUAAAUGGGUGAGAACUCCGGCUUGCUCGACUUGUCGAAGCCGGAGACGGGGCUCCGGCCCCCGGGAUCGGAGUGCAUAGUGGGCCACUUUUGGUAAGCAGAACUGGCGCUGUGGGAUGAACCAAACGACGGGUUAAGGCGCCCGAAUCGACGCUCAUGGGAAACCAUGAAAGGUGUUGGUUGCUUAAGACAGCAGGACGGUGGCCAUGGAAGUCGGAAUCCGCUAAGGAGUGUGUAAUAACUCACCUGCCGAAGCAACUAGCCCUGAAAAUGGAUGGCGCUGAAGCGUCGUGCCUAUACCCGGCCGUCGCGGCAGGGCGGACCCGCGAGGGUGCCGUUCGAUGCGGCGACGAGUAGGAGGGUCGCGGCGGCGCGCGCAGAAGGGUCUGGGCUCGAGCCUGCCUGGAGCCGCCGCCGGUGCAGAUCUUGGUGGUAGUAGCAAAUACUCCAGCGAGGCCCUGGAGGACUGAUGUGGAGAAGGGUUUCGUGUGAACAGCCGUUGCACACGAGUCAGUCGAUCCUAAGCCCUAGGAGAAAUCCGACGCCAACGGCGACGGGAAAAACGAACGAGAAAGAAACCCGUUGAUCGGGCGAAAGGGAAUCCGGUUCCUAUUCCGGAACCCGGCAGCGGAACCGCUGUUUGUCGGGCCCUCACAAGGGGUUCGUCAGGGUAACCUAAAAGGGCCCGGAGACGCCGUCGGGAGCCCCGGAAAGAGUUUUCUUUUCUGCAUGAGCGUUCGAGUUCCCUGGAAUCCU
rnacentral:rRNA from 1 species